UUUAUUGAAAUAAAAAUUAUAGUUAUCCUGCACAAAUAUGAAAAUUAAAUUUCUACUAACUACAGGUACAUAAUAACGUCUUUUAAUAAUAAUCUAUAUCCUAACGAUAGUCACAGAGGAUAGGUCCCGACAGUCACAGCAGUAACUCUUACUCCAUUGCCGACCCAGAGAGUGAUCUCGUCUUCCCUCUGCCCCUUAACUUCUUCAAGACUCAAUAUAGAAGUGUACAAGUGAACACUUAAAUUAGAAUCUAGAAUCCAACUAAAAGAAGAGAAAAUCAUUAGA
rnacentral:lncRNA from 1 species